rnacentral:rRNA from 1 species
UACGUAGGGGGCUAGCGUUGUCCGGAAUCAUUGGGCGUAAAGCGCGUGUAGGCGGCCCGGUAAGUCCGCUGUGAAAGUCGGGGGCUCAACCCUCGGAUGCCGGUGGAUACUGUCGGGCUUGAGUACGGAAGAGGCGAGUGGAAUUCCUGGUGUAGCAGUGAAAUGCGUAGAUAUCAGGAGGAAUACCCGUGGCGCAGGCGGCUUCCUGGGGCACACCUGACACUGAGAAGCGACAGCUAGGGGAGCAAACGGG